rnacentral:rRNA from 1 species
GAUGAACGCUGGCGGCGUGCUUAACACAUGCAAGUCGAACGGGAAACAUUUUAUUGAAGCUUCGGCAGAUUUAGUUUGUUUCUAGUGGCGGACGGGUGAGUAACGCGUGGGUAACCUGCCUCACACUGGGGGAUAACAGUCAGAAAUGACUGCUAAUACCGCAUAAGCGCACGAGACCGCAAUGGUUUUUGUGUGAAAAACUCCGGUGGUGUGAGAUGGACCCGCGUUGGAUUAGCCAGUUGGCAGGUACGCCUACCAAGCGACGAUCCAUAGCCGGCCUGAGAGGGUGAACGGCACAUUGGGACCUGAGACACGGGCCCAGACUCCUACGGGAGGCAGCAGUGGGGAAUA